rnacentral:rRNA from 1 species
UACGGAGGUGGCAAGCGUUGCUCGGAAUCACUGGGCGUAAAGGGCGCGUAGGCGGGGGGGUAAGUCGGAUGUGAAAUCCCUCGGCUUAACCAAGGAAGUGCAUCCGAAACUGCAGUGCUUGAGUACUUAAGAGGAUCGCGGAAUUCCCGGUGUAGAGGUGAAAUUCGUAGAUAUCGGGAGGAACACCAGUGGCGAAGGCGGCGAUCUGGGAAGAUACUGACGCUGAGGUGCGAAAGCGUGGGGAGCAAACAGG